GUUAGGAAUAUUGGACAAUGGGCGCAAGCCUGAUCCAGCCAUGCCGCGUGAACGAUGAAGGCCUUCGGGUUGUAAAGUUCUUUAGCCGAUGAUUAUAAUGACUGUAGUCGGAAAAUAAGCCCCGGCUAACUUCGUGCCAGCAGCCGCGGUAAUACGAAGGGGGCGAGCGUUAUUCGGAAUCACUGGGCGUAAAGCGUGCGUAGGCGGUCUCGUAAGUUAGGAGUGAAAGCCCAGGGCUCAACCUUGGAAUUGCUAUUAAUACUGCAAGUCUAGAAUCUCGGAGAGGAUAGCAGAAUUUCCAGUGUAGCAGUGAAAUGCGUAGAUAUUGGAAGGAACACCAGUGGCGUAAGCGGCUAUCUGGACGAGUAUUGACGCUGAGGCACGAAAGCGUGGGGAUCAAACAGGAUUAGAAACCCGUGUAGUCC
rnacentral:rRNA from 1 species